GAUGAACGCUGGCGGCGUGCCUAAUACAUGCAAGUCGAGCGAACGGACGAGAAGCUUGCUUUUCUGAUGUUAGCGGCGGACGGGUGAGUAACACGUGGAUAACCUACCUAUAAGACUGGGAUAACUUCGGGAAACCGGAGCUAAUACCGGAUAAUAUUUUGAACCGCAUGGUUCAAAAGUGAAAGACGGUCUUGCUGCCACUUAUAGAUGGAUCCGCGCUGCAUUAGCUAGUUGGUAAGGUAACGGCUUACCAAGGCAACGAUGCAUAGCCGACCUGAGAGGGUGAUCGGCCACACUGGAACUGAGACACGGUCCAGACUCCUACGGGAGGCAGCAGUAGGGAAUCUUCCGCAAUGGGCGAAAGCCUGACGGAGCAACGCCGCGUGAGUGAUGAAGGUCUUCGGAUCGUANAACUCUGUUAUUAGGGAAGAACAUAUGUGUAAGUAACUGUGCACAUCUUGACGGUACCUAAUCAGAAAGCCACGGCUAACUACGUGCCAGCAGCCGCGGUAAUACGUAGGUGGCAAGCGUUAUCCGGAAUUAUUGGGCGUAAAGCGCGCGUAGGCGGUUUUUUAAGUCUGAUGUGAAAGCCCACGGCUCAACCGUGGAGGGUCAUUGGAAACUGGAAAACUUGAGUGCAGAAGAGGAAAGUGGAAUUCCACGUGUAGCGGUGAAAUGCGCAGAGAUAUGGAGGAACACCAGUGGCGAAGGCGACUUUCUGGUCUGUAACUGACGCUGAUGUGCGAAAGCGUGGGGAUCAAACAGGAUUAGAUACCCUGGUAGUCCACGCCGUAAACGAUGAGUGCUAAGUGUUAGGGGGUUUCCGCCCCUUAGUGCUGCAGCUAACGCAUUAAGCACUCCGCCUGGGGAGUACGACCGCAAGGUUGAAACUCAAAGGAAUUGACGGGGACCCGCACAAGCGGUGGAGCAUGUGGUUUAAUUCGAAGCAACGCGAAGAACCUUACCAAAUCUUGACAUCCUUUGACAACUCUAGAGAUAGAGCCUUCCCCUUCGGGGGACAAAGUGACAGGUGGUGCAUGGUUGUCGUCAGCUCGUGUCGUGAGAUGUUGGGUUAAGUCCCGCAACGAGCGCAACCCUUAAGCUUAGUUGCCAUCAUUAAGUUGGGCACUCUAAGUUGACUGCCGGUGACAAACCGGAGGAAGGUGGGGAUGACGUCAAAUCAUCAUGCCCCUUAUGAUUUGGGCUACACACGUGCUACAAUGGACAAUACAAAGGGCAGCGAAACCGCGAGGUCAAGCAAAUCCCAUAAAGUUGUUCUCAGUUCGGAUUGUAGUCUGCAACUCGACUACAUGAAGCUGGAAUCGCUAGUAAUCGUAGAUCAGCAUGCUACGGUGAAUACGUUCCCGGGUCU
rnacentral:rRNA from 1 species